AUUAAUGCUCUUUCCUACGUAAGUGAUGGAUAUACUGUUCACAGUUACCCUUUUCACAGCAUGGCUUAAUACUUGUGAAUCAGAGAACCCGGGUACUUGUUCAAAUGUUUCAAAUGGGUAUGUGAAAAUCCUUUUUAUUCUUACAUAUCUAAUUGAUUAAACGAGUAACUGCCUAUAAAUUUAGCUUGGCAAAAUUUAGAUAUGUUCGAUAGAAUUUAUUUAUACAGAGAGCCUUUGGAUUGCUGUCCGAAUUACCGAAUUGUCGGAACCUCUUGCGUAGAAUGUUGGCCUGGAUCACGAGGUGUUAAUUGUGCAGAUAAUUGUGCAAACGGGUUCUAUGGAAGACUCUGCAGAGAGAAGUGUUUGUGUGAUCCGUGUGAUAAAAGCAAAGGAUGUCAAAACAUUACACGUGAGUACAUUUACAACAAAACAGCACAUUAAGAUAUUUCAUUUUUUGAAAAUCUAAUUGACAAAAAAAACUAUUUCAUAAAAAAAAAAUACAUUUGUACAUCGUACAGUCAUUAAAUAUUUUUGUUAUUUGACACUGGAUUGAAAAAAAAAAACUUUUGUAUGUUUUACUUCUUUGGUAAAUAUAGUUCUUAGUUUGAACUAUACUCAUUUAGAGGAAGAUGAAGGUCCAACGAGAUUUCACUGGUUUUCAAUACUAAUUGUGUCAUUUGGUGGAUUCGUAGUUUGUUGCAUCUUAUGUCUUUCUGUCUUUUGUAUAUUCAGGUAAUUAUGAUUCGUCAAAAAUUUCAUCUUAUUUGAUAUCCCAAAAAAAAUUGUAAGUUUUAAAUAACCGCAUGUAAAUGAAAAAAAAUAUUGUGCAUGCAUUAAUACAUGAAUAAUCUGAUCUACUUAUAGAUUAAGUGCGUCUGCUACACCUAAUGUUCUGACCGAGAAAGACGUUCAGAAUGACAAGGAUCUUUCCGAGAAACUACCACAUAGCCUUUCGCAAAAGACUAGCAGUGUUAAUGUAGCCGUAUCAAAUAAUACAGAUUCAGAUGCUCAUUGCAAUGACGUUUGUCAAAGGAAAGAUUGUUUUCCCACAAAAGAAACCGAUAAACCCAAAGCUUUUCAAUACUAUCAUAUUGAUCUGAUCGAUGAACCUUAUAAUAUUCUUAAACUUUCAUUUAAAAAUGAUGUUAAAAAAAUGAAAAGUGAGGCACAACCUUUGCAAAAACUUAGCCGUGCUCAACAUGAUACUUUUGAAAGAAAACGAUGUCGGGAAGCUGCGGGAAUGUUAUAACGGAAUCAAUCUUAAUAUUGUAUAAUAAAAUGUUUGUGUUUGAUUC
rnacentral:misc_RNA from 1 species